CAACUUUCAACAACGGAUCUCUUGGUUCUGGCAUCCAUGAAGAACGCAGCGAAAUGCGAUAAGUAGUGUGAAUUGCAGAAUUCAGUGAAUCAUCGAAUCUUUGAACGCACAUUGCGCCCCUUGGUAUUCCAUGGGGCAUGCCUGUUCGAGCGUCAUU
rnacentral:rRNA from 1 species